GGGGUUGUAGCUCAGUGGUAGAGCACUUGCCUAGCAUGUAUGAGGCACUGGGUUCAAUCCUCAGCAUCACAU
rnacentral:tRNA from 1 species